rnacentral:rRNA from 1 species
GCCCUAGUAACGGCGAGUGAAGCGGCAAAAGCUCAAAUUUGAAAUCUGGCCUCCUAUGGGGGUCCGAGUUGUAAUUUGCAGAGGGUGCUUUGGCGUUGGCAGCGGUCUAAGUUCCUUGGAACAGGACGUCACAGAGGGUGAGAAUCCCGUACGUGGUCGCUUGCCUUCGCCGUGUAAAGCUCCGUCGACGAGUCGAGUUGUUUGGGAAUGCAGCUCUAAAUGGGAGGUAAAUUUCUCCUAAAGCUAAAUACUGGCCAGAGACCGAUAGCGCACAAGUAGAGUGAUCGAAAGAUGAAAAGCACUUUGGAAAGAGAGUCAAAUAGCACGUGAAAUUGUUGAAAGGGAAGCGCUUGCAGCCAGACUUGCCCGCGGUUGUUCUCUUCCGUGGGCAGGCCAGCAUCAGUUUGGGCGAUCGGAUAAAGGCCUCUGUCACGUAUCUUUCUUCGGGAAGACCUUAUAGGGGAGGCGAAAUGCGAUCAGCCUGGACUGAGGUCCGCGCAUCUGCUAGGAUGCUGGCGUAAUGGCUGUAAGCGGCCCGUCUUGAAACACGGACCAAGGAGUCUAACAUCUAUGCGAGUGUUUGGGUGUCAAGCCCGGGCGCGUAAUGAAAGUGAACGGAGGUGGGAACCCUCUUGGGGGUGCACCAUCGACCGAUCCUGAAGUCUUCGGAUGGAUUUGAGUAAGAGCAUGGCUGUUGGGACCCGAAAGAUGGUGAACUAUGCUUGAAUAGGGUGAAGCCAGAGGAAACUCUGGUGGAGGCUCGCAGCGGUUCUGACGUGCAAAUCGAUCGUCA